rnacentral:rRNA from 1 species
UACCUGCAGCUCGAGUGGUAACCGCUAUUAUUGGGCCUAAAGCGUCCGUAGCCGGUUUGGUAAAUAUCUGGGUAAAUCGUGAGGCUUAACUUCACGAAUUUCGGAUAGACUGCCAGACUUGGGAUCGGGGGAGGUCAGAGGUACUCCAGGGGUAGCGGUGAAAUGUUGUAAUCCUUGGAGGACCACCGGUAGCGAAGGCGUCUGACUAGAACGAGUCCGACGGUGAGGGACGAAGCCCUGGGGCGCAAACCGGAUUAGAUACCCGGGUAGUCCAGGGUGUAAACUAUGUGGGCUUUGUAUUGGAGGUCCCACGUGGGCGUCCAGUGCAGAAGAGAAGUUGUUAAGCCCACCGCCUGGGAAGUACGGUCGCAAGGCUGAAACUUAAAGGAAUUGGCGGGGAGCACAGCGAACGGGAGGAGCGUGCGGUUU